GGGGUCGUAGCUCAGUUGGUUAGAGCGCUUCCCUGUCACGGAAGAGGUCGCGGGUUCGAGUCCCGUCGACCCCGCAA
rnacentral:tRNA from 1 species